UGAGGCUGUGGAGAUCCGCCGAGGCACAGCAGGCGGACAGGGUGCGUCCUCGCAUCCCUCAGGAACAGGAAGUGGAAACGGGUCCUCCACAAACUCCUCCGGAACGGGAACCAGGGAUAGAGGCAGUUCGUCCUCGGAGCCCUUCAGGACAGGACCGGGAACAGGAGCAGGGAGGCAGUCCAUCCACGAGCCCCUCAUGGACAGGAUCAAAGUGUAAGGGCGGCUCGGCUUGGAAUUGGACCAGAAACAGGAUUAGGAGUCUGAAACAGCGGCGUUGGCUGAUCAGGAGUUUGGUUUUUUGAUGGACCAAUAUGCGAGGAAGAACUCCUGAAGCUCGAGGUUUAAAGGAAAAAAAUUAAAUUACCUUUGGCACAUGAAGACUUCACUCAAAUCCUAGAUGCAACACAAGCACUCCAAUUUGAGGAAGGGUGCGCCAGAGCUCAGGGUCUAAGCUGGUGCCUAUCUCGAGAAGUCAUCAGGCAAGAGGCUGGGUACACCGAGGACUGGUCGCCAAUCCAUCAGAGGGCAACACAGAGACACACAGGACAAACGACCGUACAUGCACACACUCAUACCUUAGGGCGAUUUACAGAGGCCAACCUUGGCUAACAGUUUUUGGAGUUUUGGGGGAAGCUGGAGUACCUGAGGAGAAUCCAUACAUGCACAGAGAGAACCAAAGACCCCAGUUAUGGGAUUCAACCUCAGGACCUUCAGAAACAGUGCUACCAACAGUGCCACAGUGCAGGUCCCCACUAUUGUAAGAUACAAGCCUGAACACAGGUGAAAAAGAAAUGUUUUUAAAUAGAUGGUGUAUGCCCCUUAAAAGAUAACUAAUCAUAACAAAUUUCGGCGCAUUUUGUCUGGGGUACCUCAAACUUAAAGUGUAGUUUUCACAAUUAUAUAUUACUGAAAAGUCUCACAGCAAUAUAAAAAUGAAAUAUUUGUCUAUGAGCAUUGGUUCAGAUUAGCUCUCCUUUUGACAGAGCAGUAACUGUAAAGUAACUGCCAGCAAGAGGCUAUCUGAUGAAGUUUCCUUCCUGUCUCAGAAGGAGAAACAGAUGAGGAGAAAGUGUUUGUAUUUUACAAUGCAGGCAUCUCCCAGUUGAAUAAGUUCAUGCAGUAACUCUUGUGGGGUUGGGUGGCCUAUUUUUUAACAAGUAGCACUCAUCCUCCUCCCAUCAGAAACAUGUGAUAGGAUCAUAUAGCCCCAAGCAUGUUUUAAUGAGUUGCUGAACAAAAAUAACUCCUCUUCAUGGUGUGUACAGGUUUAUUAAGUGAAAAAUAAAGUGUCUUCAAUUGUUUUAACAUACUAUAACACAAACAUCUUUGUUUGAGGAAUCUCAAAGCCAGGUCCUAUACCAACAUGACUUUAUAUACCAGAAUAUGGAUCUUUGAAACCCAGGGGUAAACCAGAAGCAAAUCAGGUUGUAAGCUAUUCAGCCUGCAGCAAUCCCAAUGAGUAGUGCUUCCACUCCACAUUGGAGAUCUGUCACUUUUGAUCAGGUUCCCGAUCACAUCUACGUCCGAACUGCUCAGACUCCAGGCCUCUGUCGACAUGCUGCUUCUGCUGGCACAUUUUAGCCUUCUGACAGGUUGGUGGAUUGAGUCUGCAAGAUGGUGUCCAACUGAGCACUGCCAGAAAGCACCAGCUCCAUCUAUAUCCCAGCUUUUGUUCCAAGCUUUUAGGUAGCAAAUUGUCACAUACAUUCAGCAGCACAUUGCAGUUUUACUGCCACAGCAGCAAUAUCCCUCAUUGUCUAAAUGAGGAAUCACCAAAUGUUUUCACAUCAAGAAAACCCAUUUGGAUGCACAUUAAACCAAAGCCUCCCAUUUCAUCAGCACUUGUUCCAAAGCACCCCAUCUAAUCUUUGUUGGAGUUUUGGAAGAAAAUCAUUUAACCACGACGUGUACAGAAUUAUUUAAAAGCGUGAACUGUGCAAGCUAUAAAAUGGGCACUCAUAAUUAUCAUUUCCAGGAGUUGAGGAGCACUAAAUUGUUCCUCGUCUACGUAUCUUCUGGAACACUGUUAAUGUGUCCAUAGGGACUCACAGGCCGCUGAAGCACAGAUAUUAAACUGCUUUGAUUUCUCUUUUUUGCUCUUUGCAGUGGUUCUUCUACAAAACAUUACAGAGAUUUAAGAUUGUAACAAUAAAAGGAACAAUGAAAACCAGGGAGCUUAUAAAGAGGAGAUGUGAUCAAUGACACAGGAACCAAGUGAGUCUAAUCAGGGGAAUGUGGAACAGCUGUGGAGAAGUGCUAGCUGGGAGACCGAGGAAAGGAGACUAAUUACACUGAACACCAUGGGAGCUAAUCCAAAACACAGAGGAACUAACACUAACAUGAGAGAACAACAUCACAGAAUACCAGAACAUCAGAAAUAACAAAAAACUCAAUGCAGGGAUUCAACUAAUAUGGAAAGACACUAAAGACUAAGACAGCCAGAAUGAGAGGGAGAUCCAACGAUGGAAAUGUGCAUCACUAUAAAUUUGUUUGCAUGUUUGUUUUAUUUUAUCUUUUUAACAACUGCUUCUACUUUUCUAUUUUACAUAAAUAAUUUUUUGCUCAUGUACUAAGCAGAUAGGUUUUUUCUCAAUUUGUGACAAAAAAAAAAGCACAUUCUGAUUCUGAUAAUAUUGUUAGUUGGAUAGAACAAAUAUUUUUCAAAGUUAAGAUUGAAAUACUGGUUUGAGAAAAAAUUGAUUUAAUUAAUCUGAUGAAGUCUCCUGCUGCUCCUUAAGCUGUCCUAUUUUCAAACUUUUUAACAACCUUCACAAAUCUUUCCACCAAGUCUUGAGUCAUUAAAGGCAUGAAUGUUCCAAUUUGAGGCCCAAGCCAAGGCAUGCAAGUGUCGCAUUGAGUCAAAGUCCUAAACUUUUAUCAUUGAGUCUUAAAGAAGUUGUGUUCCUACCUUGGAUAAUGCCGUGCACAGACGUUUUUGCCAUUGAAUUUCUCCAAUUUUGCACACACCGCUGUAAUUGUGCUGGAUGACAGGACCUAAACUUUGCCCGAGUCUUUGCUGUAAUUGUAAGGUGCAAUGAAGAAGCAAGUAAACAGCGCAGUAUAUCCACCGUGCAGGAGGAGGAGAUAUGACAAGUUCCCAUUGUAACACAAUUUAUUUGCUGUAAGAUACCCAGUCUCUUCAAGUCAAAGUGUUCAACUCAAUAUGAAGUCACGAGUCAUUGGUGUGAAAGUCCAAGUGAAGUCCUAAGUCUUUAUUUUGUUUUGGAUUAAGUCGAGUCGAAACUAAUUAAAUUUCUGACUGGAGUCUGACUCUACUCUAAGUCUCAUGACAUGAGUCCACACCUCUGCCGAUUGGUGAAAGGUUGUCUGUCUAAUGAAGCCCAGCUGAUUGCAUCGAGUUAUUGGCUUUGCAGCAAUCCCUCAUCAUGAGCGAGCAAGUGUUGACACUGGAAAUGAAUGACUCUGUUUAAACAGGAAGGAACCUCCAGAACAAACUGUCUCACCAUGAGCAACCAAUCUGGUUCUGAGAGGACAGAUGUCACAAUAAUCUCUUCCGUUUCUUGCUGAAAUCUAAGUUGUUAAACUAGUAUAUUCUAAAUAAGCCAGGUGUAAUUUAAAAAAUGUAAUUAAUGUGUUGCUACCAGUAUAUUAGCAAAGGUUUUACUGGACACAACUCCACAUUGGAAUGACAUCAGUGAAUAGACACAAUGUUGGGUUAACAAUGACAAAAACGAUCAGUAAGGAAUUUUACAGAUGAUUAAUGUUUCGUGGAACAUAUAUGUGUGCCAGUGACAGAUAUGAUUACAACCUUUAGUGAUGUAUUUAGCAUAGUGGAGUUCUAAUACGUUUUCAGAAGCAGUAUUUAUGAUAUAUUUCCCUUAAAAUGUUAAAAAUGAUAAAUCUGUUGACAAGUGAAGAGACUUGCUGGUUUUGUUGAUUAAAAUGAUUGUUUCCUAGUAUGAA